rnacentral:lncRNA from 1 species
GCCCACGAGCUGUUUGAUUGAUUCUUAAGCUAAUCAGUGCUUUCUUUGAAAGAAAACCUGCACCAUCUCUAAUUUUCUUUUUUUUUUUUUGGUACUUAGAUUCCAUAUUUCCUUAACGCUAAUCAUUUGCUCUUAAUCCAUUUUAGAUUUUGUAGGCCUGAGAAAUUGUUAUUGAAUUGCGCUAAGCUGUAUUAACACCUAUUUGUGGUGUAGUAAUAAAGCAACUCAAGACUUUACCAGUGAUGUGCUUCUCAGAACAAGUCUAACUAGCAAAGAACAAAUGAUACGUUUUAAGUUUAGUUUAGCUUCUUGUCAUUUAAGUCCUUUUGCUGCGAUAGUGCGAUGCUCGAUUCUCUCAAACUUUUUUUGUAUCUUUUUAAAUGGCUUUAUUGGAUUUUUUUCCUCCUUAUAAUAAACUUACUCUAUCACUUUAAUAUGUUUCUCUUGCCUUUGAUAUCAUAUACUCUGCCGCUUGACUUUAGGAUGUCAAUGGCUCUCUCAGUUCGUUAGUUUCAUUUUCCAUUCAAUUUUCAAUUUUCCCAGUGUCCAAUUGUUUCCUAAUUUCUCUCAAAGAAUGUUGUUUUAUAUGUAUAUGAAGAAUUUUGGGAAAAUUUUGAGUAUUUUUGUAUUUCACUCUUAAUCUUUACAAUUGGUCUACAUGAUAUUUAUACACAGGGAAUCAUAUCUAAACAGGAAGUAAAUAAUCAAAUAAUAAUUACAGAGAUAAUUAAGGAUCCUAAUCAUAUCAAAUCAAAUCUCUAGAAUCAGCUAGGAUUAGUUAAAUAAGUCAACACUCCCCCCUCAAGUUGGUGCAAAGAUGUCACACAUGCCCAACUUGCAAAUCAGAUUAUGGUAGAUCUUGUUGUUAAGCCCUUUAGUAAACACAUCCGCAAGUUGCCCCGUAGAAGUCACAUGAACUAGGCUCAAGACACCGUCUGUUAAUUUUUCUUUAAUGAAGUGCCGAUCAAUUUCAAUGUGCUUGGUUCGGUCAUGUUGGACUGGAUUUUGUGCUAUACUUAUAGCAGCUUUAUUGUCACAAUACAAAGUUAUCUUGUCUCUCUCGGACAAUCUCAACUUUUCCAAUAACUUCUCUAACCAUAAGAGUUCACAUACUCCUUGGGCCAUUGCUCUGUAUUCUGCUUCCGCACUUGACCGAGCAACUACACUUUGUUUUUUGCUCCUCCAGGUGACAAGGUUCCCCCCACAACUGUGCAGUAGCCAGAGGUGGAUCUCCUGUCAUCGAGAGAUCCUGCCCAAUCUGCAUCUGUAAAAGUUUCAAUUCAGAGAUGACCAUGUUUGGAGUAAAGAAGCCCUUUCCCUGGCGCAGACUUUAGGUAUCUCAAGAUGCGAAGUACAGUUUGCAUAUGAGUCUCGCGAGGGUCAUGCAUGAAUUGGCUGACUAAGCUAACAGCAUAGGCUAUAUCCGGUCGAGUGUGUGAGAGAUAAAUCAACCUUCCUAUCAAUCUCUGAUAUCUUCCAAUAUCCACGGACUCACCAGUUCCUGCUUUCAGCUUGUGAUUACUUUCAAUGGGAGAUUCUGCUGGUUUACACCCCAUCAUACCAGUUUCUUCCAAAAGAUCCAGAAUGUACUUUCUUUGGGAGAUGAAAAUUCCUUUUUCUGAUCUAGCCACCUCGAUACCUAGAAAAUAUUGCAGUUUUCCCAGAUCUUUGAUUUCAAAUUCCUGGGCCAACAACCUCUUUAGUUGAGCCAUUUCCUCUUUGUCAUCACCUGUCACCACUAUAUCAUCAACAUACACAAUAAGAAGGGUGAUCUUAUCCUUAUGAUGUUUGAUAAACAGAGUGUGAUCAGCAUUGCUUUGUUGGUAACCAAAGGACAUCAUGGCUCUGCUAAACCUGUCAAACCAAGCUCUGGGAGAUUAUUUUAGCCCAUACAAAGCCUUUUUUAACCUGCACACCUUUCCUUGUGUCUUCUCAUCAGCGAACCCAGGAGAAAUUUCCAUGAACACUUCUUCCUCUAAAUCUCCAUGGAGGAAAGCAUUCUUCACAUCAAACUGUUGCAAGUCCCAGUCCAAGUUGGCUGCGCAAGAUAACAAAACUCUGAUUGAGUUCAUUUUUGCAACUGGGGCAAAUGUCUCUUGGUAAUCCACUCCAUAGGUUUGGGUGAAUCCUUUAGCAACCAAUCUGGCCUUAAACCGUUCAAUUGUGCCAUCAGCUUUGUGUUUCACUGUGAACACCCAUUUACAGCCAACGAGUUUCUUCUCAGGUGGGAGGGUGACAAGCUCCCAAGUCUCAUUUUUAGCCAAUGCUUUCAUCUCUUCAAUCAUUGCUUUCUUCCAUUUAGGAUCUGCAAGAGCUUUCUUCCAAUCCUGUGGAAUAGACACAGAGGAAAUAGACAAGGCAAAGGCUCUAUAGGAAGGAGAUAAAGAUUCAUAAGAAACAAAGUUAGAAAUAGGGUGUUUAGUGCAAGAUCUGACCCCUUUUCUUUGUGCAAUAGGUUUAUCUAAGUCAUUGAAACAUUCAAGAGUUGUGGGUAACUCACCAGGAGAAGAUUCUUGACUCUGAGUAGACUGCAUAAUGGCUUCUUCUGCCUUAUCUCUCCUUGAAUACCUUCUCAAAUCUGGCUUGUCCAAACGACCAGUUCUCUCUCCCUGAUUGGACAUCUCCCCCUGUCUACUAGAACUCAAACUUUCUAGUUGAACCAUAUCAUUCAGAAUCACAGAAUUCGGGAUCACCUCUUCUUGCUCAUUAUUCUCCCCUGAAGAGGUGAGUGGGUGGUACUGAAGUAGGGUUCAGUUUCUCGGAAGGUAACAUCCAUACUAACGAAGUAUUUCCUAGAGGGAGGAUGAUAACACUUGUAUCCCUUCUGUGUUGGAGAAUACCCAACAAACACACAUUUAAGGGCCUUGGGAUCCAGUUUUCCUGCCGUCCUAGUAUGGACAAAGCAAACACACCCAAAUACUUUUGGUGGAACAACGUAUGAAUUCUUCCCUUGUAGAGCCGUCAAAGGACUCAUAAAGUCAAGGGUCUUGAGAGGCAUUCUAUUGAUAAGAUAAGCAGAUGUAAGAAUUGCAUCUCCCCAAUAUGUUUUGGGUAGAUUCAUGGUGAACAUAAGAGAUUGAGCUACCUCCAAUAGAUGUCUAUUUUUCCUCUCAGCAACGCCAUUUUGAGCACUAGUAUAAGGACAACUAGUCUGGUGUAUUAUCUCAUUACUCUCCAAAUAAGCAGAAAAGCUACUAUCCAUGUAUUCUCUUCCAUUGUCAGUUCUCAAAAUUUUCACUUUAGUAUCAAAUUGAGUACAAACCAUCUUAUGAAAGGAUUGAAAACAAGAAAAGACAUCACUUUUAGCUUUAAUCAAAUAGACCCAAGUCAUUCGAGUGCAACAAUCAAUAAAGGUGACAAACCAUCGAUUACCAGAUAAGGAGACCAUUUGAGUAGGCCCCCAAACAUCAGAAUGAAUAAUUGCAAAAGGAAUUUGACUUUUAUUAUGACUCAAAGGAUAGGAUGUUCUAGUGUGUUUAGCAUACUCACAAGCAUCACAACAUAAAGAGCCAAACUGGGUUUUAGCAAACAAAUCAGGAUAAAGUUUUUCUAAAACAAAAAAUGAUGGAUGCCCUAAUCGCCGGUGCCACUGUAUUAUUUCCUGAUUGACAUCCUUAUUUUCUCCAAAACAGGCUUGAGAUAUCGAAGAAGCCGGAUCACCCUCCAACAUGUAUAAGCCAUCAUGCAGCCUACCAUUGCCAAUCAUCUUCCCUGUGCGAAGAUCCUGAAUAACACAAUGAUCAGGAAAGAAUUCAAUUUUACAGUUAAGAGCAUUGGUGAUAGCACUGACAGAUAAAAGGUUGACAGGAAAGUGGGGAACAUGAAGGACAGAUGAUAAUUUAAUGUUGGAUGUGCAAAUAACAGAACCUGUUCCGGAUAUGGGAGUAAAAGAACCAUCAGCAAUUCUGACACUAUCUUUGGUUAGAGAAGGAGAAUAAUUGAGAAAGCCGUUAUAAGAGCCUGUCAUAUGUCUAUUCGCACCAGAAUCGAUAAUCCAUGGAACAUUAUUAAAAGAGGAAGCAUUACCUGACUUUACAAAGUUAGAUGUAGCACCAGAGGAUGAAGAGGUGUCAAUAUGAGACAAGAGGCGCUUUAGAGUCUGAAGUUCAUUAGGGGAAAGGAACUCAGUCGUUGUUGUCUCCUUAAAGGGCUCCUCCACAGUUUCUGCUAACUUAGCUUGAUUUCUAGAGGUACCUCGUUUUCCUCCACGACCUCUAGUGGGACGACCAUGUAACUUCCAACAAGUCUCUUUGGUAUGCCUUGGUUUCCCACAAUAGUCACAGUGUAAGUGAUCUUUCUCAGAAGUAGGAGGCUGUGGUGUGCUCAAACUGGUAGUCAACCCAGCCUUUUCAACUGGUGCAGUAUGGAGCAUAGCAUGUCGACGACUUUCCUCUUGUUGAACAUGGGCAUGGGCCUCUUCUAAAGAAGGAAAAGGAUUUCUUCCCAACACUUGGACCCGAAUUGGAUCAUAUUCGUUAUUCAACCCUGUAAGAAAAUCAUAGACCCGCUCCUUUUCAAUCAUUUUUCGAAAUUUGACUGCAUCUCCAGUGCAAUCUGCCUGGAAGUCUUGAUAGUAAUCAAGCUCCUGCCAUAAGCCACAUAACUCAGAAUAAAAUUGAGAGAUAGUCAUUUCUCCUUGCUUAGUACCAUGAAUCUUAUUCCGAAUAUCAUAAAUUUGGGCAUCAUUCCCAAUCUUGGAAUAAGUUAAGGACAAAGCUUUCCAUAUCUUUGCAGCAGUAUCAAUUAACAAAUAGGACUUAGAGAUAUGAGGUUGCAUAGAGUUCAGUAACCAUGUCAUAACAAGACAAUUAUCCGAGUCCCAUUGAGGGAAAUCUGGAUCACUCUCAUCAGGUUGCUUUUUAUUACCAGUGACAUAACCCUGCAGUCCUCUAGCCUUGAUAAACAACAAACAAGACCUUGACCAAGCAAGAUAAUUGGUUCCAUCAAGUUUUAUAGGACUAAUUUGCAAGGAAGGAUUAUCAGAGUUAGGAAUCGAGACCCUUUUACCUUCUGCCAUAGUAAAGAUUUAUGAACAGUGAAAGAAUAGGAGGUACCCAAGGUUGUACACACAAGAAAGCCCAAUUGAUUCACCAAAAGACCGGGUAACAGCACGGGAGAGCCGGAAAGAUGGUCGGAAUCAUCGCUGGAGUGAUCUGAGCGGCGAAACAGUGACAGACGAUGGAUCACGCGCCGGGAAGCGACGGGUCAGCGCCUGGAAGGGGUGGCGCGUGAGCCUCACGAGCAGGCUUUUCCGACGUCGGAGCUGGUCGAUCGGCCGGCGGCAGUCCGGCGGUUCUCCUGGUGCCGGCGGUGAGAGAAAAAGAGGCUCCUAGAUGGGUUAGUACCAAAAUUGGUAGAUCUAGGGUUUUGAAACCCUAAAAAUGAAAAAUUGAAUUUGGACCCAAAAAAUCAGGAAAAAGCUCUGAUACCAUGAAGAAUUUUGGGAAAAUUUUGAGUAUUUUUGUAUUUCACUCUUAAUCUUUACAAUUGGUCUACAUGACUAUUUAUACACAGAUAAUCAUAUCUAAACAGGAAGUAAAUAAUCAAAUAAUAAUUACAGAGAUAAUUAAGGAUCCUAAUCAUAUCAAAUCAAAUCUCUAGAAUAAGCUAGGAUUAGUUAAAUAAGUCAACAGUAUAUGUAGAGUUACUAGCACUUGCAGCCAGCAAAAUUGAAUUUCAUAUCUCAUGAUGCAUCACGUGUGAUCCAUUUAUGUUGGUUACACCUGCUUUCAGCUUGAUGUGUUUGAAGUGGAAAAACACUUGCUUUUUAUGCUUCAAUCUUGGGUAUUCAAAGGUAAGGAUUUUCCAGAAAUUUCUAUUGUACUGGCAAUGCAGAUGCUUGGAGGUAUGGUCAACCUGUUCUCUCAUGUAUAUUGUUAACUCUUCGAAGGUUUCUUGGGGUGCUUUUGCAGUUCAUUAUUUUUGCAACAUUGUUGAAAUCAAUGCACAUAACGUGUGUUUUUGUAUGCAUGUGUGUGUGUGUGUUUUUUUUUAUUAGAAUUUGUAGUUAUUAAAAUUCAUGGUGAUAUUUUACCAGGUCUCAUGUCUGAUUGUUUCAAACCAUUUAGGUUGGAUGUAAUAUAAUCCCUUGUUAAGGUUUCAU